rnacentral:rRNA from 1 species
UUGUAGUCUGCAACCCGACUACAUGAAGCUGGAAUCGCUAGUAAUCGCGGAUCAGAAUGCCGCGGUGAAUACGUUCCCGGGUCUUGUACACACCGCCCGUCACACCAUGGGAGUCGGAAAUGCCCGAAGUCUGUGACCCAACCUUAGGGAGGGAGCAGCCGAAGGCAGGUCGGAUGACUGGGGUGAAGUCGUAACAAGGUAAC